rnacentral:rRNA from 1 species
GAUGAACGCUGGCGGCGUGCCUAAUACAUGCAAGUCGAGCGAACGGACGAGAAGCUUGCUUCUCUGAUGUUAGCGGCGGACGGGUGAGUAACACGUGGAUAACCUACCUAUAAGACUGGGAUAACUUCGGGAAACCGGAGCUAAUACCGGAUAAUAUUUUGAACCGCAUGGUUCAAAAGUGAAAGACGGUCUUGCUGUCACUUAUAGAUGGAUCCGCGCUGCAUUAGCUAGUUGGUAAGGUAACGGCUUACCAAGGCAACGAUGCAUAGCCGACCUGAGAGGGGGAUCGGCCACACUGGAACUGGGACACGGUCCAGACUCCUACGGGAGGCAGCAGUAGGGAAUCUUCCGCAAUGGGCGAAAGCCUGACGGAGCAACGCCGCGUGAGUGAUGAAGGUCUUCGGAUCGUAAAACUCUGUUAUUAGGGAAGAACAUAUGUGUAAGUAACUGUGCACAUCUUGACGGCACCUAAUCAGAAAGCCACGGCUAACUACGUG